UACGUAGGGUCCGAGCGUUGUCCGGAAUUAUUGGGCGUAAAGGGCUCGUAGGCGGUUCGUCACGUCGGGAGUGAAAACUCGGAGCUUAACUCCGAGCCUGCUUCCGAUACGGGCAGACUAGAGGUAGGCAGGGGAGAGCGGAACUCCUGGUGUAGCGGUGGAAUGCGCAGAUAUCAGGAAGAACACCGGUGGCGAAGGCGGCUCUCUGGGCCUUACCUGACGCUGGGGAGCGAAAGCGUGGGUAGCGAACAGG
rnacentral:rRNA from 1 species